CUAGGGAGGGUAGAGUCACAUGGGGUAACCUCCUCGUGGUCGCUAUAAUGUGGUUCUCGCUCUCGGUGGGGCGUGUGGUGAGUGACUCCAGCCAGGUCUCCUUAGCAACCACAUUGGCCCGGUUGCUAGGGAGGGUAGAGUCACAUGGGGUAACCUCCUCGUGGUCGCUAUAAUGUGGUUCUCGCUCUCAGUGGGGCAUGUUGAGUGACUCCAGCCAGGUCUCCUUAGCAACCAAAUAGUCCCGGUUACUAGGGAGGGUAGAGUCACAUGGGGUAACCUCCUCGUGGUCGCUAUAAUGUGGUUCUCGCUCUCGGUGGGGCGUGUGGUGAGUGACUCCAGCCAGGUCUCCUUAGCAACCACAUUGGCCCGGUUGCUAGGGAGGGUAGAGUCACAUGGGGUAACCUCCUCGUGGUCGCUAUAAUGUGGUUCUCGCUCUCAGUGGGGCAUGUUGAGUGACUCCAGCCAGGUCUCCUUAGCAACCAAAUAGUCCCGGUUACUAGGGAGGGUAGAGUCACAUGGGGUAACCUCCUCGUGGUCGCUAUAAUGUGGUUCUCGCUCUCGGUGGGGCGUGUGGUGAGUGACUCCAGCCAGGUC